CUUUCCUUGUGUUGACACAUCAGACUUUUAGAAUCUUAAGAGGCUGACAUGUCAUUAACUGAAAAAAGUUGAGUGACCAAUUAAAACAUUUUGUUUCUCCACGUCUUUGGAAUUGUGUUUGCACAUUCUUCUUCGUUCAUUCACCCUUACUAUCUUUGAGUUCUCUGAAGUUUGCAAAAGAGAAGUGAAAAUCAGAUGAAUUUCUUCUCUGAAGUUUACAAGCCUACUGCAAUCAGAUCAAUUUUCAUUGCCGCAUAGUCUCCUCCUCAUGCCGUAACCACCAGAUUUCUCCGUGAAUGCAGAUCUGCUCUCUCAUGCCCUAACCGCCGUGUUUCUCUAUGUCAAGCAGAUCAACUCGAGCCUAGAGCCGAAUUGAGAGAUGGGUACCACUGCCUUUCGUGUCAGAGCAACUCAGUAAAGGGAGUGCUCUUCAUCGUUCUCUCUGAUUUUUGUUUGGUCUUUCCAUAUUCUGCUGAGAUUUGAUCGUUCUGUUGUUUGUGGUGUUGAAAUCUGAUAAAAUAGAGUUCUUUGAUCACAAUUCUGAGUUUAGACUUUUCAUAUUCUCGCAGAGAAAUCAGAUCUGUGUUUGGUUUUGUAGAAUCUGUGUUAUCUGUUUCUGUUUGGGUUUGAGAAGAGUGAUUCAUCUGUUUCUGUUUAUGAUUGAUCUUAUUUCAAUUGAUAUUGUUAAGUGUAAGAUAAUUUCGAAAUUAACAUGUGCUGCUCAGGAUCUGAGUUUCGAUUUGAUCAGUUUCUGACACUGUAAAAGUUUCUUCAAAACUGUUCUGUUUUUAAAAUCAAAAACCUGCAAUGAUUCUGUGCUGUGUAUAUUUCUGAGUGUCUGGCUGGUUUGAUUAUUUGUCUCUGAAGUUAAAUCAUUUAUAAGAGUGAUUAGGAUGUGUUUUUGGAUUUGGAAAAAGAUUUCAACUUUGAUUAAGAAAAGCUAUGUGAGUUUCUUGCUUUGCUCCUAGCUUUGUGUUCUUAAUUAAGAUUUCAUUGCAAUCUGAUGUGUAAUGUCCAUUAAUCACUGUCAAGUUCUGUCUAUUAUACUCUUAGUUUAGUUAUGGUCUUCUUUUGUUUUGAUAUUUUCUGCAGGUAUCUUGUGAACUCACGACAAUGGUGGUCACAAAUGCUGUAGGUCCUCUUCUUGGGGAUCUUACUUGUGGAACUUUACUGCAAAAGUUGCAGGAAAUCUUGGAUGAAGUUGGUGAGAGUGAUGAGCAAGAGUGUCUUGUUUACAAGAGUAAAGUUCAACAGGCUGCCAAGUCCCGAGUGUCUUGUUUACAAAAACUUUAGCUGUGACAUCUCAAGCAAUGGAGAUGAUGUGUAGUUAACGUGUUGGUAGAGUGACAGGCUGCACAAGGUUCUUGAGUUUGUGAGCACAGUUCAUGAUCUGUGUGAAGAUGAGGUUAAUUCAGAGGAUGAAUAUGAAGAAAACACUGAUCAGUGGACAUGGGGAUAUUUUGUUGUUGGUGUUAUGAGUAUGGGGAAAUUUAUGUUGUUGGUGUUUGUUGAACUUGAUACGUUUGGAUGGAAGUAGAUUUGUAAAAUUUUCAUGUUUAAUGUAAAAUUUGCACUUUCAUU